CACGUAGGGGACGAGCGUUGUCCGGAUUCAUUGGGCGUAAAGCGCGCGUAGGCGGCUCGGAAAGUCGGUCGUGAAAUGCCGGGGCUCAACCCCGGGACUGCGUCCGAUACUCUCGAGCUGGAGGCAGGUAGGGGAGAUCGGAAUUCCUGGUGUAGCGGUGAAAUGCGUAGAUAUCGGGAGGAACACCUGUGGCGAAAGCGGCGCACUGGACCACAACUGACGCUGAGGCGCGAAAAGCUAGGGGGAGCAAACAGG
rnacentral:rRNA from 1 species